UUUAAAAAGUUUGGCCAGCAGAAGGUUGGUUGAAGGUUGGCAACCAACCUUCUGCCUAACUGGAGAGCCGUGUCACAUUAUCUCUCAUUCCCUCUCCUAUAAAUAGGAAAGGAUGCUUCACAGUUCAGUGUACCAACAAUAAGUGAGAGACAUUAGAGAGUCACAGAUAUAAUAAAAAAGCCGGCAGACUUGUUUACUUGCCUUGUCACCCAAGACACAGAAACAUUACUGGUGAAGCCCAUAACAUGUUGCAAUUUUUUUAACACACUAAAAGCAGAGUCAUCAUAUGAGUGCUUUUUCCAUAAUUAAUUUCCACUAAAAAAGAUUUUAUACAAUUUUUUUAUAUUUUAAAUAACAAGAAUAUUUUAAUGUAAUUUACUUGUAAAUCGUAGUGGGUUCUUCACGAUUGGAAUGACGAUGAAUGUAUCAAUAUCUUGAAGAAGUGCAAGGAAGCUAUUCCGAAUGAAAUUGGGAAGCUGAUAAUUGUUGAAGCUGUGGUCGAUGAAGCAAAAGACGACAAGCUUGAGUUCGUUAGGUUGGCAUUGGACAUGGUGAUGAUGGCUCAUACUGAUACAGGUAAAGAGAGGACCUCUGAGGAAUGGGAAUAUGUUCUUAAGCAGGCUGGUUUUAGCCGACAUACUAUAAAAUCCAUUGCAGCUGUUCAAUCUGUUAUUGAAGCUUUUCCUUGAAUAAAAAUGUAAUAAAUAAAUAUAUAAAAUAAAUUAUGUGGCA